AGUGGCGGACGGGUGAGUAACGCGUGAGAAUCUGCCUUCAGGUCGGGGACAACAGAGGGAAACUUCUGCUAAUCCCGGAUGAGCCUUAGGGUAAAAAAUUUAUUGCCUGGAGAUGAGCUCGCGUCUGAUUAGCUAGUUGGUAAGGUAAAAGCUUACCAAGGCAACGAUCAGUAGCUGGUCUGAGAGGAUGAGCAGCCACACUGGGACUGAGACACGGCCCAGACUCCUACGGGAGGCAGCAGUGGGGAAUUUUCCGCAAUGGGCGAAAGCCUGACGGAGCAAGACCGCGUGGGGGAGGAAGGCUCUAGGGUUGUAAACCCCUUUUCUUUGGGAAGAACAAAAUGACGGUACCAAAGGAAUCAGCCUCGGCUAACUCCGUGCCAGCAGCCGCGGUAAUACGGAGGAGGCAAGCGUUAUCCGGAAUGAUUGGGCGUAAAGCGUCCGCAGGUGGCAAUGUAAGUCUGCUGUCAAAACCCAGGGCUCAACUCUGGUCAGGCAGUGGAAACUACAUAGCUAGAGUUCGGUAGGGGCAAAGGGAAUUCCCGGUUUAGCGGUGAAAUGCGUAGAGAUCGGGAAGAACAUCGGUGGCGAAAGCGCUUUGCUAGACCGAAACUGACACUCAGGGACGAAAGCUAGGGGAGCGAAUGGGAUUAGAUACCCC
rnacentral:rRNA from 1 species